AUUGAACGCUGGCGGCAGGCUUAACACAUGCAAGUCGAGCGGGGGAAGGUAGCUUGCUACCGGACCUAGCGGCGGACGGGUGAGUAAUGCUUAGGAAUCUGCCUAUUAGUGGGGGACAACAUCUCGAAAGGGAUGCUAAUACCGCAUACGUCCUACGGGAGAAAGCAGGGGAUCUUCGGACCUUGCGCUAAUAGAUGAGCCUAAGUCGGAUUAGCUAGUUGGUGGGGUAAAGGCCUACCAAGGCGACGAUCUGUAGCGGGUCUGAGAGGAUGAGCCGCCACACUGGGACUGGGACACGGCCCAGACUCCUACGGGAGGCAGCAGUGGGGAAUAUUGGACAAUGGGGGGAACCCUGAUCCAGCCAUGCCGCGUGUGUGAAGAAGGCCUUAUGGUUGUAAAGCACUUUAAGCGAGGAGGGGGCUACUUUAGUUAAUACCUAGAGAUAGUGGACGUUACUCGCAGAAUAAGCACCGGCUAACUCUGUGCCAGCAGCCGCGGUAA
rnacentral:rRNA from 1 species